GAUAUGAACCGUUAUAACCGGCGAUACCCGAAUGGGGAAACCCAGUGUGAUUCGUCACACUAUCAUUAACUGAAUCCAUAGGUUAAUGAGGCGAACCGGGGGAACUGAAACAUCUAAGUACCCCGAGGAAAAGAAAUCAACCGAGAUUCCCCCAGUAGCGGCGAGCGAACGGGGAGGAGCCCAGAGCCUGAAUCAGCAUGUGUGUUAGUGGAAGCGUCUGGAAAGGCGCGCGAUACAGGGUGACAGCCCCGUACACAAAAGCGCAUGUGCUGUGAGCUCGAUGAGUAGGGCGGGACACGUGGUAUCCUGUCUGAAUAUGGGGGGACCAUCCUCCAAGGCUAAAUACUCCUGACUGACCGAUAGUGAACCAGUACCGUGAGGGAAAGGCGAAAAGAACCCCGGCGAGGGGAGUGAAAAAGAACCUGAAACCGUGUACGUACAAGCAGUGGGAGCACCCUUUGGGUGUGACUGCGUACCUUUUGUAUAAUGGGUCAGCGACUUAUAUUCUGUAGCAAGGUUAACCGAAUAGGGGAGCCGGAGGGAAACCGAGUCUUAAUUGGGCGUUAAGUUGCAGGGUAUAGACCCGAAACCCGGUGAUCUAGCCAUGGGCAGGUUGAAGGUUGGGUAACACUAACUGGAGGACCGAACCGACUAAUGUUGAAAAAUUAGCGGAUGACCUGUGGCUGGGGGUGAAAGGCCAAUCAAACCGGGAGAUAGCUGGUUCUCCCCGAAAGCUAUUUAGGUAGCGCCUCGUGAAUUCAUCUCCGGGGGUAGAGCACUGUUUCGGCUAGGGGGCCAUCCCGGCUUACCAACCCGAUGCAAACUGCGAAUACCGGAGAAUGUUAUCACGGGAGACACACGGCGGGUGCUAACGUCCGUCGUGAAGAGGGAAACAACCCAGACCGCCAGCUAAGGUCCCAAAGUCAUGGUUAAGUGGGAAACGAUGUGGGAAGGCCCAGACAGCCAGGAUGUUGGCUUAGAAGCAGCCAUCAUUUAAAGAAAGCGUAAUAGCUCACUGGUCGAGUCGGCCUGCGCGGAAGAUGUAACGGGGCUAAACCAUGCACCGAAGCUGCGGCAGCGACACUGUGUGUUGUUGGGUAGGGGAGCGUUCUGUAAGCCUGUGAAGGUGUGUCGUGAGGCAUGCUGGAGGUAUCAGAAGUGCGAAUGCUGACAUAAGUAACGAUAAAGCGGGUGAAAAGCCCGCUCGCCGGAAGACCAAGGGUUCCUGUCCAACGUUAAUCGGGGCAGGGUGAGUCGACCCCUAAGGCGAGGCCGAAAGGCGUAGUCGAUGGGAAACGGGUUAAUAUUCCCGUACUUGGUGUUACUGCGAAGGGGGGACGGAGAAGGCUAUGUUGGCCGGGCGACGGUUGUCCCGGUUUAAGCGUGUAGGCUGGUUUUCCAGGCAAAUCCGGAAAAUCAAGGC
rnacentral:rRNA from 1 species